AUUGAACGCUGGCGGCAUGCUUUACACAUGCAAGUCGAACGGCAGCACGGGGGCAACCCUGGUGGCGAGUGGCGAACGGGUGAGUAACACAUCGGAACGUGCCCAGUUGUGGGGGAUAACCUAUCGAAAGGUAGGCUAAUACCGCAUGAGCUCGGCAAGAGGAAAGCGGGGGACUCAGCGAUGGGCCUCGCGCGACUGGAGCGGCCGAUGUCCGAUUAGCAGUUGGUGGGGUAAAGGCUUACCAAGGCGACGAUCGGUAGCUGGUCUGAGAGGAUGAUCAGCCACACUGGGACUGAGACACGGCCCAGACUCCUACGGGAGGCAGCAGUGGGGAAUUUUGGACAAUGGGGGCAACCCCUGAUCCAGCCAUGCCGCGUGAGUGAAGAA
rnacentral:rRNA from 1 species